UCCUUGGAGGAGGAGAGUGCGCGAAGAGCACUCCAAGCGCGGCGGAUCCAUUGUGAAGCCCCAGCAAAUUUCAUCCACGCCUUUUUCUUUCGGGGGGUGGGAGGAGAAGAUCAUGCAUAGUUAUUGCCAGUAGCAGCAGGCUAGCGAGAGACAUGUAGGGCUCAAGCAGUCACAACAAUCCUUGGAGUGUCCAAAGUGAAUUAUGGGUAGCAAUGGUACAGAGAACACACUAAAGCUGAGAACCUCACCCUUGCCAGACUGAGAUGCUUUGUGCGGAACAAGAAAGCAAUGAUGCUGACACUCUAUUACUCAAUCUUAAAAUUGGCCAUUUGGACGGAGGUGAAAGGAAUCUUCUUUGCUCAGAAGGCAUCGUAUCUCUGACAUUCUGUAUCCCAGUAGCUGUAAUGCCAGGAGUUGUUCCAGCCUGAAAUCAAUAGAUUUUAAAUACCAAGAUCAACAGUGAUUAUGGGGAUAAAGUACAAGGGUGGUGAAUCUGUGGAAUCCAUUGCCAUGGAAGGCUGUGGAGGCCAAAUUAAUGGACAUUUUUA